UACGUAGGUCGCAAGCGUUGUCCGGAUUUACUGGGCGUAAAGAGCGCGCAGGCGGCUGGUCAAGUCCGAUGUGAAAUCUCCCGGCUCAACUGGGAAACUGCAUCGGAAACUGAUCGGCUUGAAGAUGGGAGAGGGUAGUGGAAUUCCCGGUGUAGUGGUGAAAUGCGUAGAUAUCGGGAGGAACACCGGUGGCGAAGGCGGCAUCCUGGACCAAUUCUGACACUGAGGAGCGAAAGCCAGGGGAGCAAACGGG
rnacentral:rRNA from 1 species